rnacentral:rRNA from 1 species
UACGGAGGGUGCAAGCGUUAUCCGGAUUCACUGGGUUUAAAGGGUGCGUAGGUGGGUCUGUAAGUCAGUGGUGAAAUCUCCGGGCUUAACCCGGAAACUGCCAUUGAUACUAUAGGUCUUGAAUUUUCUGGAGGUUAGCGGAAUAUGACAUGUAGCGGUGAAAUGCUUAGAUAUGACUUAGAACACCAAUUGCGAAGGCAGCUAACUACAGGGAUAUUGACACUGAGGCACGAAAGCGUGGGGAUCAAACAGG